UCGGGUUGUAAAGCACUUUUGUCCGGAAAGAAGACUUCUGCCCUAAUACGGCGGGAGGAUGACGGUACCGGAAGAAUAAGCACCGGCUAACUACGUGCCAGCAGCGCGGUAAUCGUAGGGUGCGAGCGUUAAUCGGAAUUACUGGGCGUAAAGCGUGCGCAGGCGGUUCGUUAAGACAGAUGUGAAAUCCCCGGGCUUAACCUGGGAACUGCAUUUGUGACUGGCGAGCUAGAGUAUGGCAGAGGGGGGUAGAAUUCCACGUGUAGCAGUGAAAUGCGUAGAGAUGUGGAGGAAUACCGAUGGCGAAGGCAGCCCCCUGGGCCAAUACUGACGCUCAUGCACGAAAGCGUGGGGAGCAAACAGGAUUAGAUACCCUGGUAGUCCACGCCCUAAACGAUGUCAACUAGUUGUUGGGGAUUCAUUUCCUUAGUAACGUAGCUAACGCGUGAAGUUGACCGCCUGGGGAGUACGGUCGCAAGAUUAAAACUCAAAGGAAUUGACGGGGACCCGCACAAGCGGUGGAUGAUGUGGAUUAAUUCGAUGCAACGCGAAAAACCUUACCUACCCUUGACAUGGACGGAACCCUGCUG
rnacentral:rRNA from 1 species